rnacentral:rRNA from 2 species
UGCAAGUCGAGCGGCAGCACGGGUACUUGUACCUGGUGGCGAGCGGCGGACGGGUGAGUAAUGCCUAGGAAUCUGCCUGGUAGUGGGGGAUAACGCUCGGAAACGGACGCUAAUACCGCAUACGUCCUACGGGAGAAAGCAGGGGACCUUCGGGCCUUGCGCUAUCAGAUGAGCCUAGGUCGGAUUAGCUAGUUGGUGAGGUAAUGGCUCACCAAGGCGACGAUCCGUAACUGGUCUGAGAGGAUGAUCAGUCACACUGGAACUGAGACACGGUCCAGACUCCUACGGGAGGCAGCAGUGGGGAAUAUUGGACAAUGGGCGAAAGCCUGAUCCAGCCAUGCCGCGUGUGUGAAGAAGGUCUUCGGAUUGUAAAGCACUUUAAGUUGGGAGGAAGGGCAGUUACCUAAUACGUAUCUGUUUUGACGUUACCGACAGAAUAAGCACCGGCUAACUCUGUGCCAGCAGCCGCGGUAAUACAGAGGGUGCAAGCGUUAAUCGGAAUUACUGGGCGUAAAGCGCGCGUAGGUGGUUUGUUA